AGCAGCCGCGGUAAUUCCAGCUCCAAUAGCGUAUAUUAAAGUUGUUGCAGUUAAAAAGCUCGUAGUUGAAUUUCGGGAUCAAUGCGUCGGUCGUGCUUUCGGGUACGUACUGGUGUCAUUGGUUUCUCCUUUCUGACGAACCUUGAUGUCAUUAAUUUGGUGUCUUGGGAAAUCAGGACUGUUACUUUGAAAAAAUUAGAGUGUUUAAAGCAGGCUCACGCUUGAAUACAUUAGCAUGGAAUAAUGAAAUAGGACGUUUGAUUCUAUUUUGUUGGUUUCUAGGAUCGACGUAAUGAUUAAUAGGGAUAGUUGGGGGCAUUAGUAUUCAAUUGUCAGAGGUGAAAUUCUUGGAUUUAUUGAAGACUAACUACUGCGAAAGCAUUUGCCAAGGAUGUUUUCAUUAAUCAAGAACGAAAGUUAGGGGAUCGAAGACGAUCAGAUACCGUCGUAGUCUUAACCAUAAACUAUGCCGACUAGGGAUCGGAUGAUGUUAAUUUUUUUAAUGACUCAUUCGGCGCCU
rnacentral:rRNA from 1 species